rnacentral:lncRNA from 1 species
GUCAGAUUCUGAAUUGCAUUUUAAUAGUGGUGCAAAGGGGAUUUGCUGAUGGCCUUGGGAAAGAGAAAGAAAAGGAAGAAGACACACAUCUCAAAUUCAGCCUGAGGUCUGCAAAGUUUGACACUGUAGCUUCAUUUCCACAGCUAUGACUCAUGGGUUUACCUUCAGUGGCUACCACACUUUUCCUGUUUCUGUGACAAAUAACACAAAGGAAACUUGAAGGAACAAAUAUGUACCUCAGCAAAAUGUCAUGAAAAUAGACUCAGGGUAGAAACUUCCUCACUCCAAACCAGUGACUUGUGCAA